rnacentral:tRNA from 1 species
UCCCUGGUGGUCCAGUGGUUAAGAAUCUGCCUUGAAAAGCAGGGGGCACAGGUUCAAUCCCUGGUCAGGGAA